rnacentral:rRNA from 1 species
ACUAUGCCGACUAGGGAUCGGGCGAUGUUAUUUUUUGACUCGCUCGGCACCUUACGAGAAAUCAAAGUUUUUGGGUUCUGGGGGGAGUAUGGUCGCAAGGCUGAAACUUAAAGAAAUUGACGGAAGGGCAAAAACAUUCGGUGGUGCCCUAAAUUUACUAAGUCCUCCGGGGCAAGGUCGCUGAACUGUGGGGACUCUCGUUCUGAGAUGCCCGCAGCUGUACUCACUAGAGUACGGUUCACAGGUCAAGCAGUGGCCGGCGGCGCUCAGCGCGCUGUUUUGAUAUGAUCGGUCUGCUCGUUAAGACGAGCAGGAACUUGCCACCAGGAGUGGAGCCUGCGGCUUAAUUUGACUCAACACGGGGAAACUCACCAGGUCCAGACACAAUAAGGAUUGACAGAUUGAGAGCUCUUUCUUGAUUUUGUGGGUGGUGGUGCAUGGCCGUUCUUAGUUGGUGGAGUGAUUUGUCUGCUUAAUUGCGAUAACGAACGAGACCUUAACCUGCUAAAUAGCCAGGCUAGCUUUGGCUGGUCGCCGGCUUCUUAGAGGGACUAUCGGCUCAAGCCGAUGGAAGUUUGAGGCAAUAACAGGUCUGUGAUGCCCUUAAUCUAGGGGUUUAGUAUUAAUUCUAGUCGCUAACGCGGCAACACUGCCACUCUGGCGGGAAAGCACCUUCGGGCGCAACCCGCAGCUGCCACAGGCAGCCCAGAGACUAAAUGACGGUGGGCGCAUCUGCGCUUCUGAUAUAGUCCAACCCCCGAGAGAGGUCUCGGGGUAUUCGUGUAGAUGUUCUGGGCCGCACGCGCGCUACACUGACAGAGCCAACGAGUUCAUCACCUUGGCCGAAAGGUCUGGGUAA